UCCAAUUAAGUGAUAAGUUGAUCAUAAAAAAUACGACUCGUGAAUCCAAUGGGAAAUAUGGAUGUUUAAUGAGCAACGGAAUCGAACCAAAUCUAUGGACAGAAUUUGAUGUUACAAUUAAGGGUAAAAUUUACUGAAUGUUAACAUAAUAUUGCUUGAACUCGGCGCUUUUCAACUCAAUUUAGAGCAAAAAACCUUUCUUAUUAUCGAGAUUGUCUCUUGAAAAUUUCCCAUAUAAUCAUUUUAAGACCAACCUUUACAAUGGACACAAUGAUUGUCCAGUUAUCUUUAGUUAUAAUUAUCUUUCUCAGUCAUUCAAGUUAUGGACAAGAAGCUCCUAAAGUGAACCCAUUUUCUGCGGCAAUCAAACCAGUGAUCGGAGGAAAAACAUCAUUUACUUGUCAAAGUCUUUCAGGAUCACCACCUCUUCAUGUAUCUUGGUUCAAGGAUGGAAAUGAGUUAACUGACUCAUCUACAAUUAGAAUACGAACUAAUGAAGAUUCAUCAAUGUUAAUUAUUGACUCAAUUCAAUCGAGUCAUUCAGGAAAUUAUUCUUGUAAAAUAUCAAACAGAUUUGGUUAUGAUACUUUUACAACUGAGCUUCUUGUUGAAGGACCACCAAAUUGGAUUGAGCAACCAAAGGAUAUAAAAUCUCAUCACGGUGAAACAAUUAUCGUAAAUUGUAAAGUAUCGGGUCACCCAAAACCCAGAAUUCAAUGGCGGAGACUCUCAGGUUCAUCAUGGAUAAAUUUUGUAUCGGAAGGCACAAGAAUUAAGAAUAUUGAAUUGGAAAAUGAUAAACUGAUAAUAACCAACGUUUCUCGGUCUGAUAAUGGAAGAUUUGGUUGUUCUGCCAUAAAUGGAAUCGAACCUAAUCUUUGGUCUGAGUUCGAAAUUUCAAUUGAAGAUGAAUCAUUUACUCUCUGCUAGUUUGACAUUUUUUGUUCUCGUUAUAAAACUUAGCUAUCAGCAAGAAACUCCAAAGGUUGCUCCAUUUUCAUCAUUGGUAAAACCCGUGAUUGGAGAAUUCAAUCAAAUGGAGAUCCAUCUAUUUUGAUUAUCGAUUCAAUUCAAUCAAGUCAUUCCGGCAAUUACACUUGUAAAAUGUCAAAUAGGUUUGGCCAAGACUCUUACAC